GUGCUCACUUCGGCAGCACAUAUACUAAAAUUGGAAAUAGAGAAGAUUAGCAUGGCCCCCGAGCAAGGAUGACAUGCAAAUUCAUGAGCGUUCCAUAUUUCU
ensembl:snRNA U6 U6 spliceosomal RNA